GACGAACGCUGGCGGCGUGCUUAACACAUGCAAGUCGAACGGAAAGGCCCUGCUUUUGUGGGGUGCUCGAGUGGCGAACGGGUGAGUAACACGUGAGUAACCUGCCCUUGACUUUGGGAUAACUUCAGGAAACUGGGGCUAAUACCGGAUAGGAGCUCCUGCUGAAUGGUGGGGGUUGGAAAGUUUCGGCGGUUGGGGAUGGACUCGCGGCUUAUCAGCUUGUUGGUGGGGUAGUGGCUUACCAAGGCUUUGACGGGUAGCCGGCCUGAGAGGGUGACAGGCCACAUUGGGACUGAGAGACGACCCAGACUCCUACGGUAGGCAGCAGUGGAGAAUAUUGCACAAUGGUCGGAAGCCUGAUGCAGCAACGCCGCGUGCGGGAUGACGGCCUUCGGGUUAUAAACCGCUUUCGCCUGUGACGAAGCGUGAGUGACGGUAAUGGGUAAAGAAGCACCGGCUAACUACGUG
rnacentral:rRNA from 1 species